CCUACGGGUGUCAGCAGUGAGGAAUAUUGGUCAAUGGCCGGAAGGCUGAACCAGCCAUGCCGCGUGAAGGUCAGUGCCCUAUGGGCGUUAAACUUCUUUUGUGCGGGAGCAAUAAUGGUCACGUGUGGCCAGACGAGAGUACCGUACGAAUAAGCAUCGGCUAACUCCGUGCCAGCAGCCGCGGUAAUACGGGGGAUGCAAGCGUUAUCCGGAUUUAUUGGGUUUAAAGGGUGCGUAGGCCGCAUGUCAAGCGUGCUGUGAAAUGUCCGGGCUCAACCCGGGCCUUGCAGCGCGAACUGGCGUGCUUGAGUCCGCGGAAAGCAGGCGGAAUUCGUCGUGUAGCGGUGAAAUGCUUAGAUAUGACGAAGAACCCCGAUUGCGAAGGCAGCUUGCUGCAGCGGAACUGACGCUGAUGCUCGAAAGCGCGGGUAUCGAACAGGAUUAGAUACCCCGGUAGUC
rnacentral:rRNA from 1 species